AGUUUCUUCACGAUAUCAAAUGUUGUCAGCUUUAUACUGUAAACAACAUGAACAAAAAAAAUGUUGGCUGGCUUCUUCACAUUAGUCUAUAUAUAUAUAAAUAAGAAACUUACCUGCUGUUUGGCAUGCUUUUCAGGGCAUUGGGGACAAACCCACGGUACAAUCCAAUCACUCCUUCACGCUCAAUUAUACCUAUCAAUCAUUUUUUAGGAUAAACCGAGGGAGUACCCUUCAAUUGCAUCUGUCUUCUAAUGGUAUCCAACGGAUAGCAAGUACCCGUAGCAAUAGCAGCAGCUACCACUGCUGUUAGUAGAGAUGCCUGUGUCUUCUUUUGAUACUUCUCUGGCAAAGAUUUCUUUACCCUGCAUCCCGAGUGUUUUAAUAAUAAUGUAAACAAACCUUCACUGAAACAUUUUGCAGGGGGUAACUGUUAGCAGCAGACUUACAGAUCAAAGACGCAGAAGUUGAGGGCAAUGUAAGGAGCUAUACUUAAAAGCGAAGGACCCAGACCGUUAUAAAAUGAUGCAACUCCUUCCUCCCUCAGCAUGUUCAAGGCUACCUACAUGUGACAUGUUUGCGUUUUCUUAAAAAUAUUUUUGAAGAGUUUAUGGAGCUUUCUUUAGAGUUGGUCUAAAAUCUAAUUACCAUACCUGGGACAUGGUUCGAUACCCCGGUUCAACAGCUAACCUCAACCUCAGCACAUCUAAAGGAUAUGUUAUCUGCAUAAAAACAUAAACAGAUUCUUAAAGAUAUUUAAGAUUUUUCGUGAGACUA